rnacentral:rRNA from 1 species
CCUGGUUGAUCCUGCCAGUAAUCAUAUGCUUGUCUCAAAGAUUAAGCCAUGCAUGUCUAAGUACAUGCCGAAAUAAGGCGAAACCGCGAAUGGCUCAUUAAAUCAGUUAUGGUUCCUUAGAUCGUUUCUUCCUACUUGGAUAACUGUGGCAAUUCUAGAGCUAAUACAUGCAGUGAGCCUGGAGCCCUUUGGGUAACGGGUGCUUUUAUUAGACCAAGAUCGAUCGGGUUUCGGCCCGUAUUGUGUGGUGACUCUGGAUAACUUUGUGCUGAUCGCAUGGCCACGAGCCGGCGACGUUUCUUUCAAGUGUCUGCCUUAUCAACUUUCGAUGGUAGGUUACUUGCUUACCAUGGUUGUUACGGGUAACGGAGAAUCAGGGUUCGAUUCCGGAGAGGGAGCCUGAGAAACGGCUACCACAUCCAAGGAAGGCAGCAGGCGCGCAAAUUACCCACUCCCGGCACGGGGAGGUAGUGACGAAAAAUAACAAUACGGGACUCUUUUGAGGCCCCGUAAUUGAAAUGAGUACACUCUAAAUCCUUUAACGAGGAUCAAUUGGAGGGCAAGUCUGGUGCCAGCAGCCGCGGUAAUUCCAGCUCCAAUAGCGUAUACUAAAGCUGCUGCGGUUAAAAAGCUCGUAGUUGGAUCUCAGUUCCAGACGAGUAGUGCAUCUACCCGAUGCGACGGCUCGGACUGAACAUCAUGCCGGUUCUUUCUUGGUGCACUUCAUUGUGUGCCUCGAGAUGGCCGGUGCUUUUACUUUGAAAAAAUUAGAGUGCUCAACGCAGGCGAGUCGCCUGAAUAAACUUGCAUGGAAUAAUAGAACAAGACCUCGUUUCUGUUCUGUUGGUUUUUGGAAUACGAGGUAAUGAUUAAGAGGGACGGACGGGGGCAUUCGUAUUGCGGCGCUAGAGGUGAAAUUCUUGGACCGUCGCAAGACGAACUACUGCGAAAGCAUUUGCCAAGAAUGUUUUCAUUGAUCAAGAACGAAAGUCAGAGGUUCGAAGGCGAUCAGAUACCGCCCUAGUUCUGACCAUAAACGAUGCCAACCAGCGAUCCGCCUGAGUUACUCAAAUGACUCGGCGGGCAGCUUCCGGGAAACCAAAGUAUUUGGGUUCCGGGGGAAGUAUGGUUGCAAAGCUGAAACUUAAAGGAAUUGACGGAAGGCACCACCAGGAGUGGAGCCUGCGGCUUAAUUUGACUCAACACGGGAAAACUUACCCGGCCCGGACACUGGGAGGAUUGACAGAUUGAGAGCUCUUUCUUGAUUCGGUGGAUGGUGGUGCAUGGCCGUUCUUAGUUGGUGGAGCGAUUUGUCUGGUUAAUUCCGAUAACGAACGAGACUCUAGCCUAUUAAAUAGGUGCGGGGUUCCCAGCACCUUACAACCUUCUUAGAGGGACAAGCGGCUCCUAGCCGCACGAAACAGAGCAAUAACAGGUCUGUGAUGCCCUUAGAUGUCCGGGGCCGCACGCGCGCUACACUGAAGGAAGCAGCGUGUCUUUAUCCCUGUCUGAAAAGACUGGGUAACCCGUGGAACUUCUUUCGUGAUUGGGAUAGGGGCUUGCAAUUGUUCCCCUUGAACGAGGAAUUCCCAGUAAGCGCGAGUCAUAAGCUCGCGUUGAUUACGUCCCUGCCCUUUGUACACACCGCCCGUCGCUACUACCGAUUGAAUGAUUUAGUGAGGUCUUCGGACCGAUGUCCGGCGCGGCCUUUCGGUUGCGCCGGUCUGUUGGAAAGAUGACCAAACUUGAUCAUUUAGAGGAAGUAAAAGUCGUAACAAGGUUUCCGUAGGUGAACCUGCGGAAG